GCUCAGGUGGUGGAAUUGGUAGACACGCACGCUUGAGGGGCGUGUGCCGCAAGGCGUGCGGGUUCAACUCCCGCUCUGAGCACCA
rnacentral:tRNA from 2 species